GAUCCUGGCUCAGAUUGAACGCUGGCGGCAUGCUUUACACAUGCAAGUCGAACGGCAGCAUAGAGAGCUUGCUCUCUGAUGGCGAGUGGCGAACGGGUGAGUAAUACAUCGGAACGUGUCCGUUGGUGGGGACAACCACCGAAGGGUGGCUAAUACCGCAUAAGACCUGAGGGUGAAAGGCCGGGGACCGCAAGGCCUGGCGCGAACGGAGCGGCCGAUGACUGAUUAGCUGGUGGG
rnacentral:rRNA from 1 species